rnacentral:rRNA from 1 species
UACGGAGGGGGCUAGCGUUGUUCGGAAUUACUGGGCGUAAAGCGCACGUAGGCGGCUUUGUAAGUUAGAGGUGAAAGCCCAGGGCUUAACUCUGGAAUUGCCUUUAAGACUGCAUCGCUAGAAUCGUGGAGAGGCGAGUGGAAUUCCGAGUGUAGAGGUGAAAUUCGUAGAUAUUCGGAAGAACACCAGUGGCGAAGGCGACUCACUGGACACGUAUUGACGCUGAGGUGCGAAAGCGUGGGGAGCAAACAGG